UACGGAGGGUGCAAGCGUUACCCGGAAUCACUGGGCGUAAAGGGCGUGUAGGCGGUUCGUUAAGUCUGACUUUAAAGACUGGGGCUCAACCUCAGCAGUGGGUUGGAUACUGACGAACUGGUCUUCUGGAGAGGUGAUUGGAAUUACUGGUGUAGCGGUGAAAUGCGUAGAUACCAGUAGGAACGUCUAUGGCGAAGGCAGGUCACUGGACAGAUAGAGACGCUGAGGCGCGAAAGUGUGGGGAGCAAACCGG
rnacentral:rRNA from 1 species